UACUGCAUCAGGAACUGACUGGAUAAGACUCAGUCACCAUCAGUUCCUAAUGCAUUGCC
rnacentral:pre_miRNA from 1 species